CCUACGGGAGGCAGCAGUGGGGAAUAUUGCACAAUGGAGGAAACCCUGAUGCAGCGACGCCGCGUGAGUGAAGAAGUAUCUCGGUAUUUAAAGCUCUAUCAGCAGGGAAGUAAAUGACGGUACCUGACCAAGAAGCCCCGGCUAACUACGUGCCAGCAGCCGCGGUAACACGGAGGGGGCAAGCGUUAUCCGGAUUUACUGGGCGUAAAGGGAGCGUAGACGGCAGAGCAAGUCUGGAGUGAAAUGCCGCGGCUUAACCAUGGAACUGCUGUGGAAACUGUCAAGCUGGAGUGCAGGAGAGGUAAGCGGAAUUCGUGGUGUAGCGGUGAAAUGCUUAGAUAUUACGAGGAACACCAGUGGCGAAGGCGGCUCACUGGACUGCAACUGACGUUGAGGCUCGAAAGCGUGGGGAGCAAACAGGAUUAGAUACCCGUGUAGUC
rnacentral:rRNA from 1 species